GAUGGGACUGAUAUUUCAUGAUCAGUUUCGGGGAGAUGUCAUUGGUAUUCUCUGGAAACCAGGAGUAAUGGAGGAGAAAGAAUUCAAGGUGCCUAAUAUGACUGCCAGAAAGCCUGCAAUUUCUGAGUCUUCAGACAUUGCAUUGACACUCAACCUUGAAGCCAUAGCAGAUGAUAUCCGAGUUCUGGGAGGAGACCUUGUUUCAAGAGUGGAUGUCAAAGUCAAGAACAGGUGCUCAUGAAUGUGAUCUGCUUGGUCACUAUUUGGACUUUAAUAUCUCAUACAGCCUUGAAAAGAUGGCAUUUUGUGGGUUGUAUGCAUUUUUGCACCAGGUGUAUAUAUAUAUCAGCUGCAAUAUAACAACUUUCAAUGUCCAUCAGCAGUUUUACCUACAGUAACCAUGUCUAGCUUUAAAUGACUAAAGAAAAUAAACAGAACAGCUAUGUAGAGA